rnacentral:misc_RNA from 1 species
AAUGACACAAUCCAAACCAAAAUAAAAGAAAUGCAAGCGACCGCUUUAUGGUGGGGUCCGAAAGCCCGAUCAUCACUCAGAGCUAAAGGACAAUUGAAUGCAGAAGAGACAGCUAAACACACGGACUCCUCUCCUUUCCCUUUCUCCUUCCAUUUUCACCUUUCCCUUUCUGCCCCACCGGAAUUUGCAAUGAAGAACAUUUAGGUAAAUGUAAUCCACAAAUUAUACACUAAUUUGAUGAAUUGAGACUCCUGCAGAGUUGGUUAUCAUCUUUCCGGUGUCUACAUUCGCGUUUUCUACACUAGUUUUCAAAACCACCGCCGAAAUGACCACCAGAGGAAGCAGAUCAGAGAAGGUGAAGCGA